UACGUAGGGGGCAAGCGUUGUCCGGAAUCAUUGGGCGUAAAGCGCGUGUAGGCGGCUCGGUAAGUCUGCUGUGAAAGUCCAGGGCUCAACCCUGGGAUGCCGGUGGAUACUGUCGAGCUCGAGUCCGGAAGAGGCGAGUGGAAUUCCUGGUGUAGUGGUGAAAUGCGCAGAUAUCAGGAGGAACACCAAUGGCGAAGGCAGCUCGCUGGGACGUGACUGACGCUGAGACGCGAAAGCGUGGGGAGCAAACAGG
rnacentral:rRNA from 1 species